AACGAACGCUGGCGGCAUGCCUAAUACAUGCAAGUCGAGCGAACAGAUGAAGUGCUUGCACUUCUGACGUUAGCGGCGAACGGGUGAGUAACACGUAAGGAAUCUACCUAUAAGCGGGGGAUAACAUUCGGAAACGGGUGCUAAUACCGCAUAAUAUCUUCUUCCGCAUGGAAGAAGAUUGAAAGACGGCUCUGCUGUCACUUAUAGAUGACCUUGCGGUGCAUUAGUUAGUUGGGGGGGUAAUGGCCUACCAAGUCGAAGAUGCAUAGCCGACCUGAGAGGGGGAUCGGCCCCAUUGGGACUGAGACCCGGCCCAAACCCCGAAGGGAUGCAGCAGUAGGGAAUCGUCCGCAAGGGACGAAAGCCUGACCGAGCAACGCCGCGUGAGUGAAGAAGGUUUUCGGAUCGUAAAACUCUGUUGUUAGAGAAGAACAAGGAUGAGAGUAACUGUUCAUCCCUUGACGGUAUCUAACCAGAAAGCCACGGCUAACUACGUGCCAGCCGCCGCCGUAA
rnacentral:rRNA from 1 species